AAUAUAAUGCAGAGACACCAACUUGUUUCUGCUUCCAAGAGUGGUAAGAAUUACUUCAGCACAUGUAAUUAAUAAGAAGAAAGGGAAACUAGUUUUACCCAGGAAACACUGUGCAUAACAAACCUACUAAAGAUAAUUUACAGCCAGGUGGGGUGGCUCAUGCCUGUAUUCCCAGCAUUUUGGGAGGCUGAAGCAGGUGGAUCACUUGAGGUCGGGAGUUUGAGACCAGCAUGGCCAAACAUGGCGAAACCCCAUCUCUGCUAAAAAUACGAAAAUCAGUGGGGCAUGGUGGUGGGCGCCUGUAGUCCCAGCUACUCAGGAGGCUGAGGCAUGAGAAUCACUUGAACCUGGGAGGUGGAGGUUGCAGUGAGCCGAGAUCGCGCCACUGCACUCCAGCUUGGGCAACAGAGCAAAAUUCCAUUUCAAAACAAAAAAACAAAACACACACACACACAAAACUUAGUAGAAAAAACAUGAAUAAAAGUAGUAUCAUUUCCUUGCAUUGUUAAAGCCAGGUAAAAUUUCCAGUACCAUACACUUGAUAGUAAUGGUUGCUGAUUAUUCUGCCAUGAAGUGGGGAGAGAACUAGCAUUAAUUCCUGACUAUGUUCCUUAUGCUCUACUAUCUCAGUAUUUUACAUGUUGAUCUUGUUAAAUCUUUACUGUCUCAGACAUUAUUAUCUCUAUUUUGCAAACAGGAAAUCUGAGACUCCAGAAGAGUUAAACAUGUGUUCAGGCUCACCCAGCUAAUAAGUGAGUGAAGCAGGAUUUGAAUCCACGUUCAUCUGACUCCGUGGGACGUUAGAAGGAUACUUCUCUAAUUAGGAAGAGAAACAGAGACUGAAACACAGAGUGGCCACCCAGCUUCACGCAGCUAGAAUUCCCAAGAUGCCUUGGGCUGGGGAGAGCCCAAAGAUAGCUCUUCUGAGUGAGUUUCCUUGUGAUUGUCUCUGUUCCACAGCAUCCACACAUCUGACCUGUAGAACACACGUGAACGAGCAGACACAAAGACACUUGAAUUUGGACAGACAAGCAACCCAGCCACCUUUCAGUGUGGCUGUGUCAGUAUAGGAAUGAAAUGAACAUGACCCCCUCCAGCAGGGAAGGGAACACACAGUAAAGAUGGUCAAAAUGAGAACUGAAGAAGAG